rnacentral:rRNA from 1 species
GUAGGUGGCAAGCGUUGUCCGGAAUUAUUGGGCGUAAAGCGCGCGCAGGUGGUUCUUUAAGUCUGAUGUGAAAGCCCCCGGCUCAACCGGGGAGGGUCAUUGGAAACUGGGGAACUUGAGUGCAGGAGAGGAAAGUGGAAUUCCACGUGUAGCGGUGAAAUGCGUAGAUAUGUGGAGGAACACCAGUGGCGAAGGCGACUUUCUGGCCUGUAACUGACACUGAGGCGCGAAAGCGUGGGGAGCAAACAGGAUUAGAUACCCUGCUAGUCCACGCCGUAAACGAUGAGUGCUAAGUGUUGGGGGGGUUUCCCGCCCCUCAGUGCUGCAGCUAACGCAUUAAGCACUCCGCCUGGGGAGUACGGUCGCAAGACUG